AGAGUUUGAUCCUGGCUCAGGACGAACGCUGGCGGCGUGCUUAACACAUGCAAGUCGAACGGAAAGGUCUCUUCGGAGAUACUCGAGUGGCGAACGGGUGAGUAACACGUGGGUGAUCUGCCCUGCACUUCGGGAUAAGCCUGGGAAACUGGGUCUAAUACCGGAUAGGACCACGGGAUGCAUGUCUUGUGGUGGAAAGCGCUUUAGCGGUGUGGGAUGAGCCCGCGGCCUAUCAGCUUGUUGGUGGGGUGACGGCCUACCAAGGCGACGACGGGUAGCCGGCCUGAGAGGGUGUCCGGCCACACUGGGACUGAGAUACGGCCCAGACUCCUACGGGAGGCAGCAGUGGGGAAUAUUGCACAAUGGGCGCAAGCCUGAUGCAGCGACGCCGCGUGGGGGAUGACGGCCUUCGGGUUGUAAACCUCUUUCACCAUCGACGAAGGUCCGGGUUCUCUCGGAUUGACGGUAGGUGGAGAAGAAGCACCGGCCAACUACGUGCCAGCAGCCGCGGUAAUACGUAGGGUGCGAGCGUUGUCCGGAAUUACUGGGCGUAAAGAGCUCGUAGGUGGUUUGUCGCGUUGUUCGUGAAAUCUCACGGCUUAACUGUGAGCGUGCGGGCGAUACGGGCAGACUAGAGUACUGCAGGGGAGACUGGAAUUCCUGGUGUAGCGGUGGAAUGCGCAGAUAUCAGGAGGAACACCGGUGGCGAAGGCGGGUCUCUGGGCAGUAACUGACGCUGAGGAGCGAAAGCGUGGGGAGCGAACAGGAUUAGAUACCCUGGUAGUCCACGCCGUAAACGGUGGGUACUAGGUGUGGGUUUCCUUCCUUGGGAUCCGUGCCGUAGCUAACGCAUUAAGUACCCCGCCUGGGGAGUACGGCCGCAAGGCUAAAACUCAAAGGAAUUGACGGGGGCCCGCACAAGCGGCGGAGCAUGUGGAUUAAUUCGAUGCAACGCGAAGAACCUUACCUGGGUUUGACA
rnacentral:rRNA from 1 species